GGGACUGUGGUGAAGGACACCUGUCAUAUUGUAAGCCAUAUGGACUCUCAGGGAAGGUAGAGGUAACUUUCAAAGGAUUAGUGGAGUUAGGGUGGCAAAGGAGGGGGCAAGGGGCAUUCUCCCUACAGUAAGUGAUUUAUGCAAAGAUUGGAAGCAACAGAGCAUAUGGGAAUUGGGGAAACUGCAAAAGGCUCAGGAUGGUUUGAACCUUUGGUGGAAAGAAGAGGAGUAGCUGAAGACGAGGCUGGACAUGAACCGCCUGGUAUGCAAUGCUGUAGAGAUUGGGUUUCACCCUAAGGACACGGGCAUGUUUUAAACAGAGAAGUCAUCAGACUUGCAUUUUAGAAUUCUGGAUGAAGGUGUUACUCGUGGAAAAGAUUGAGGUGUAUCUGAUGUGAUUAAGGAGGUUGCAUCAAUGUGCAAGGGACAGGAGAGAGUUGUGGAGUCAAAUUCAGGCACCAGUCUGGAUGGUGGAAACAUUCACAGAAACAGAACUUUCAGGGAGGAGAUGGUUUGGGUGAAAGGGAAGAGGGUGAUGCGGUUUCCAUGUGUUCAGUUUCAGGCUCCAGUAGGGCAUCCAGGUGGAGAUACCUACCUGUGCAAUUUUGGUUGGAACGCAGAAGACAGAUCUAGGUCAGGGAGAGAGAUUUUGGGAGUUGGUGGCUUUUAGGCAUAUUUAAAGCCAUGGGAAUUUGAGGGUAGUUGGAUUUUUAUUACUUAUCAUGAAUUUCUAUUAACUCUGGUUCAAGGUUAUUGAAUUUGUAAUAGAGUUGAAUAAAUGGUAGCUAAAAUUAUGACAUUUUGAAAUGUAUUCAUCCCCACCCAUAUUCAUGAAAGAAACAUUUGUCUGGAAGAUAUAAAACGCCACUAUUCAGAAUGUAUUGUCCAAAGGAAUUGGCAAAGAGAUUUUUAGCCAAAAAUCAAACUUAGAACAUUCCCCAUUCUUUCCCUUUCAUAAUAGAGAAAAGUGAUUAAAGCUCUUUGGCUAAAAAUAGCAAACGAUUACGGUCCAGCUCACAUUGUAGGAACAGGAAGCCUUUGGUUCAUUGAACUCCACAAACAAUCCCCACACAUUGUAGCCACUGUAACUUUCUCCAUUGCUAACUCUUUAACAUACGAUUUUCCCUCUGAGAGUUGCUGGUCUUGCUAGUUGCUAUGGUCUGAAUGUUUGUGUCCCUUCCAAAUUCAUAUGUUGAAAUCCUGACCCCCAGGGUGAUGGUAUUAAGAGGUGGGGCCUUUGGGGAGGUUGAUUAGGUCAUGAGGGAAGUGCUCUUAUGAAUGAGAUUAGAGCCCUUACAAAAGAAGCACAGGGAAGCUCCUGGCCCUUUCCACCAUGUGAGGACACAGUGAGAAGGUGGCCAUCUGCAGGCAGACACCAGAACCCAACCAUGCUGGCACCCUGAUCUCUGAUUCCCCAGCCUUCAGAUCCAUGAGAAAUAUAUUUCUGUUGUUUAUAAGCCACCCGGUUUAAAGUAUUUUAUUAUAGUGGCCCAAACAGAUGAAGACUACUAUUCAACUUUUACAUAAAGAACAAAAUUAAAUUAGAGCAAGAAUUAUCAGAGAAUAUGGGAGCUGUGAGUCACAUUAGAGAUUCUUUUACCAACUGUGUCAUUUUUCUAGACAAGGCAGCUGAAGACCAGAGUGAUUCAGUGCUUUCCUCCAAGACCACACCCAGGCCCGCACAGAGUGGGGGUCGGAGUCCCGCAGCUCAACACCCCCCCACCCCGCCCCGCAUUCAGCCUCUUACCAGCCAGGACCCUGUGGAUGAUUUUUGCCAUUUAAAAGUCAUUUGCUCUUUCACAAUACUGAUAAAUAAAAGAUCAGAAUAACGUAUCUUAAUUGGUCAAAAUGUAGGGACAGAAAAUGAAAGGAGACAAAGGUGCAUUUCUUACACAGUUGACUUAGGCUAGCAUUUUCCACUGUAAUUGCAAAUAUACAAAGUGUGUCAUCUUUCUGGUUAUAUGUCCUUUACUUAAUUGCACUGAAAGCUACUUGGUUUCAUCAGAGGUUCCAAAUAUUGCCUCUGGUUUAAUAGCUGAAGGUUUUUUUUGUUUGUUUGUUUGGUUGGUUGGUUUUUUUUUUAGAAAGUGACUUUUAAAACCAUAUUAUAAGUGUUUUAUAAUAAUUGCCUUUCUCCUCUCAACCUAGCAAAAACAUAUAGAUAAAAGGACAAUCAAGUAGAGAUUCUGAGCUUUUGUUAAUUUUCUGUAAUGCUAUUGAACCAAAGCUCAAGGACAUUGAGACACCAUGGAUCAGUAGCAAUCAUGGAGGAGGCUCCCUGGUUCAGUAGCAGUGGUGGUCUAGACACGUGAGACGCCAUGGUUCAGCAGCAGUAGUAGGGGAGGCAGGAGACUGGACUGGCUGGCCAAGUGGCCUUCUGGGGCUCCUCAUCUCAGAUCCCUAUGUAUUCACUCCUGAAUAUGUCACAAGUAUUGGGCUAGAUUGUUUUUAAAGGUUCCUGGCAACUCUAACAGUUUAUUAUCCUACAGUCAAGACACACAUUUUCAUUUUAUCACAAUUUCUGAUUCUUCACACUUUUUCUUAUCCCAUAUGAUGUGUUGGUGAAUCCUGUCACUUUGUUUGGUCAGCAUUAAUGUACUAUUUAUUAUUUAUUUACUUGGUGCCAGCAACUGUCUUAGAUGUCUUUUUGCCUGUCAUUUUCUUCCAUUCAUUACAGCUGCCUCCUCUGAGCACUGAGAACCCCCAGAAUUCAGCGACUUCAAUUUGUUUGCCUCCCAGAGACUAAGCCAACCUUCCUAGUUUACACACAAAAUGCUCCCACUUAAGUACAUACUCUACCAUAUUCCUUCCUGAAAGUAUAAAUAUACUUUCUGAGUAGUCCAAAGUGUUAAUGUUUGAUUAUCUUGAUUUGGAAUUAAAAAAAUGAGAAGCAAGUUGAACAAAUCAUUUCACAUUUAAAAUCCACGUAUUUCCUGGAAAUGCACCAAAUUUUGAUCUAAAUAGGAAGUAAGGUAUUUUCAGAGAUAAAUACUUCAAAAUGGAGUUAAAUAGACUUGCUUUAUACUCAGAGAUUCAAAUAAGAAGAUGAUCUAAAGUUUGGUUACCUUAUUAUUUGUUUUUAAUUCCAUUUUCCUUUGAUUGCCUCAUUUAUAAAAUGGCAGCCAAAGACAUUUUGGACAGUGAGAGUAUGUGUCUGAUGUGCAUAUCACAGCUAUAAAGUGUGUACAUGUGAAGACUUCACACAUCCAUAUGCAUGUUAUCCAUGGCUCCGUCGAGCAGUCCUCCUCUUAAUUAUGCUUUAUAUAUGCUUUGUGCAGCCAGGCAUUGAUCUUUCAAGUACCGGUGUCUGGUUCAAAGACUUGUAAUUAGGCAGAAAGAUCUGGUAAAAUGGAUUCUAUGGAAUUAUUCAAAUGCUCUGUGUGUAUGAAAUUGUUCAUCUAGAAUUAUUUAUCUGGAAAAAAAGACACUUUCAAAUAUGCACAGAGCCUAUUUUUUUAAAAAUUGUAUUCCUUUCCAUUAUUUACUGAUAUUCCAUGCACUUCUUGGACAUUUGCAAAUUGCAGGGCUUUGUUUUUUGUUUUUUCUGUUUUGAUAUGAAGCUGCUUUGUUCUUUCCUGUGGGCCUGUUAAUUGGUGAGCUCUUUAUCCAUGAGAUCAAGAAUCAGGGGCUUUUUAUUAACUCAUUGUGAGCUCUAAGAUAUUCCCAUGGGCCUGGAGAAGAGAAGUUGCCUUUGAGACUUCAUGCUUCUCCUAUUCUUUUACAACACUGGUCACAGCCCAGAAGAUGUAAUCAACAAUGACAAGAAUUUAAUCCACAGUUUAGAAUUAGAAUCCCCUGAUACUGAAAAUUCUAUAAUGAGCCUUUUUGUCUUUUUUCCUUUAUUUUGUUAGCAUUUACAAUUCCUUUUACUUGUGCACGCUUUCUCCUCCAGGAUAAAAUCCUGUUAGGGAUUUUAAAAUAAAUAAUUGAAUUCUGUAUUCUAGUUCUAAAAGCCAUAAAAGGAACAAUGUUUAUUUUUCUGGAAGACAUUGUCAUGGUCUGUAGGUGGUGAUGUGAAAAUUCUUAGAAUUUUCUUUCUUGAAGAUGGAGAGACCAGUAAAUUCCUCUUUUCUCUUUCACACGUAAAUACACCAUCAUCACAUACCUUUCUAUAAAAGUAUGAAUUUCUCCGCUAAGUAGUCUGAGAAAUUAUCUCUAUACAAAGAGCUCCGUGGGGGAUUUGCAGGGUUUGGAAGUGAAGAAGAGAAUGAAAGGAGCCCCUGAACAGUUUCAGUGACUCUCAGGAAUUUCAAUUCUCCAUUGCUACAUGGCUUAUUAUUAUUAUUUUUACCAAAACAUAUGAUACCCCUUUCUAGGCCACUACUGUUGCUCCAUUUUAGCGUUUUCAGAGAAUGUUUUUUCUUCCUUCUGAUUAGCCUGUUUUUCUGCUCCUGCUGCCGCUGCUGCUGCUAUCCUGAUGUAAGUGCCUGUGAGUAAGCAGUGAGCUCCAGUGUACAGGGUUUAUUUUUUUUUUCUCCAUGAUUCUCAACAGCUUUUCUAUUAGAAUGAUUUUAUGCCUGGAUGGUUUGACUAUCUUUUUCUCAAAAAAAAAAUAAAUAAAACAAAGUGCAGGAAACCCAAAAUACCUUCCCAACAAUUAGAAUUUUGCUGGUUGUCAGUUUGCCCUCCAUCCUCCUACCUGAGUCACUAGAAGCAUCUGGGUCAGCCUGGGGAUGGUGGCAGGCACGUCUGGGGUCCUUUUGAUUGACAAGCACAUUGAACCCAAGUGAUCAGGACCAUGAGUGGCGAUUCACCACAUGUGUGUUUAGUUAUCAUCAUCAAGGCACCUAGCAAUUUUACUUCUGAACAUUGAAACUCAUCUUUACUCUUUCCCUCUGUAUUUUCCUUGCUUUCCCCACAUUUUUUCCUGAAGAAUAUGUUGGUUCCUUUUAAUGUUUGAUUUCAGGCUAGUUUGGGCACACAAAUUUUCCAUUUCCCAAGAUAUUCUCAAAGUGAAGAAGGCACUUCUUCUGAUAUACACACAGAAACAGGCUUAACAUGUAAGUGUAAAAAGAACACUCGACUAGCUGCUAAGCAACCUGCAUGACAGGAGAGAUUUUGUACUAUCUUGCUAUGUGACUUUAGGUAAGUCACUUUACUGGUCCUCAUUUUUGUCACAUGUAUGCCUUUCCCAACUAAAAAAUUCAAUUAUUUUUAUUUGUAUAAAUUUUCUCUUCUGAAACAAUAUUUAUGCAUGCAUAUCCACGUUGCCCUAGUUUUUUUAUAAUACCUUUAAGCAUCUUAAAACUAGAAUACUACUGAAUGGACAGAAAAACAAAUCUGUACACAGAGACAUUCAGAGUGACUUUAUUAAUCAGAAUCUGUGUAACAAAAUCAGCUCUUGCGGUACAUCAUUAUAGGUGGCACGACAAAUGCUAAAGAAUAUUUAUGUAAUUUAUUAAUUACAAUAUCUACUUGAUUCUCUAGAAUUUCCACGUUAAGUAAACAGAGAGGUUGCAAACUCUUCACAUCUUAUGUCCAACUGAUUUUUCAUUGUAGUUUUCUAGUUACAAAGCUGUUUUCAUUGUGAAAAAAUGUGUUAAUCAUAUAAUACAAUGAAUGUGACAAUUAAAACAAUAUAAAUGCAAAAAUCAUAUAGGUUUACAGAAAGAAUGAACUCAAGUGUAAAAGCAUUAGAUAGAAGAAAGAACAACACUUUCUAACAUUAGAAGCCACAGUCUACAACAAGGUUAUAGCAGUUAUGGAUAUCUAUGGACCAAAUAACACAGCAACUGCCUACAUAAAAUAGAAACCAAUGGAAUAAAAUGUAAACAAACACCAGAGUCAUCUAAUUAUGGAUCAAAAUCCAGUAUAAAAUAAAGGUAGUAUUUAAGACCAUGAGAUAGAGAUGGUCUUUUUAUAAUAAAUGGUGUUGGGACAACUGGAAAGCAAUUUUGAAAAAGGUAAAAUUAGAUCUGUUGCUCAUACCACACACAAAAAUAAACUCCAAGUGCAUCAGAGAUCUGAAAGUGAAAAGAAAUAACACUAUACACACGCUAGCAGAAAACAUGACCGAAUCCCUCUACAACUUGAACACAGAGAGACUUUCUACUCUUUAAAAAUCCCUAUACAACAAAGCAAAAGAUAAAUGUGGCUCCAUAAAAAUAAAACUUUUGCAAGUCAAAAGCAAAAAAUUGAAAACAAACAAAUACACAAACUAUCUACUCAAAAUGGUAAACACCAAAAGCAAAGAAGUUAAAAGACAAAUGACCACUGGGAGAAAAUAUUUUCAGUGUUCUUUUCCCAUAAAAGGCAUAUACCCCUAAGUUGUAAACAUCUUUUAAAAAUUAAAAGAAAAAAUGAACAAAAACUUUAUGAACGAAUGAGCAAAUAAAUGAAGCAAGAAUGCACAGAAAGACAACAUAUGAAAAGAUGUUCAAAUCUUCUUCUCAUUGUAAGAGAAAUGAAAUUGGAACAACACCAGUACUAUUUCUAAUUCAUUAGAUUGGCAAACUUAGAGGUUUGACGAUACAUUCUGUUGGAGAGGAUGUAAGGAAAUAGGAGCUCUCCUACACUGCUGGUGGGAAUAGCAAAUGGUACCAUUCCUAUGAAGGAGGAUUGGCAAUAUGUAACAAAAUUGUAUAUGCAUUUGGUUUCUAUCCUAGCAAUCCCACUUCUAAGAAUUUACUCUAAAGAUAAACCUCCAACAAUACAGUAUACGUGUGUGUGUGUGUGUGUGUGUGUGUGUGUGUGUAUCCGUAAGGUAUUCAUUGUUCAUUGAAGCAUUUGUUGUAAUUGCAAAAUGUUGGAAACUACUUGAAUGUCCAAGCAUAGAGACCGGUUGUAUAAAGCAUAGUAUUUAUACGCACUGUGUAUUAGGCAGCUGUAAAAAAUAUGAGGAAUUUUCACUUCUAUAAUAAAGUGAUUUCCAGGAUAUAUACUGAAGUGAAAAAAGCUAUGUGCAAGAGAGUAUAAGGAAGCUAUGUACUUUCUUAUAGGUAUGAAACAAGGAAAAAUUAGAAAACAUACUGAUCUCGUGCUAGAGGGUAGAAAAUGGUAUAAAAGACACAUUUGGGACAACUGAUAAAACUUGGAAUAUUAAUUGUAGAUUAGAUACAAUUAUUACAUUAAUGUUAAAUGUCCUGAAGUUGAUAACUGUACUGUGGCCAUGUAAGAUAAUAGCCCUAUUCUUGGAGGAUAGAGAGCUUGGUCUAUGUAAUUUAUUUUAAUAAAGGGGUAUGUAACCUACUUUCUAAUGCUCCAGGACAAACAUGAGAGAGAGCGAGAGAGAGAGUGAGUAAGCGUGAGAAAGAGAAAUGAAAGAGAGCACAGAUAAGGCAAUGGGUAAAAUGUUGAAACUAGGUGAAGCUGGUUGUCUUUGUCAGCUGAGGCUGCUAUAACAAAAUACCGUGAAUCAGGUGGCUUAUAAACUACAGAAAUUUAUUUCUCACAGUUCUGGAGGCUCGGAAGUCCAGGAUCAAGCCAUUGGCAGAUUCGGUGUCUGGUGAGGGCCUGCUUGCUGGUUCAUAGACGGUGCCUUCUCGCUCUGCCCUCACAUGGUAGAAGGGGCAUGGAAGCUCUCCGAAGUUUCUUUUAUAUGGGCAUCAGUCCCAUUCAUGAGAACUCCACUCUUAUGCCCUAAUCACCACCCAAAAGUUUCACCUCCUAAUAUCAUCCCCUUGGUGGUUAGGAUGUAAACAUAUGAAUUUUGGAGGGAUGCAAAGAUUCAGUCUGUAACAUUGGUGAGAAGCUAAGUGAAGACUCUUUGUUCUACUUUUGUAUGGAUUAUUUGUAUUGAUCUUUGCAUUUUUCAAAAGUUUGAAACUAUUUCCAAAUAAAAUAUCUUUAAAAAUGUGGAAAAAAUAGACUUCUCACAUGCCUCCAAAGGGGACUUACACAGGUGGUAAAAGAUGAUUCUUGUCACUUUGUUCAAAGGAAUAGUGUAAAACUUUCAGGCCAGUCCUAUGACCUCUGGGGUCAGUUCAAGGAUCUCUUCAGAAGCCUCUCCAGUGUCCCAGCCCAGUCCAGUGAGGCUGGGCACAUUUUAUUCAGAAGAUGUUAAGAAGAUUGUCUGGGAAUCAGUAUUAUUUCAUAGCUCUUUUUUGGAACUGCAGAGGCAGCUGUCUCUUCUUAAAGCCACCAAAACCAGUAGUGCCCAAGGUGCAAGCUCACAGUUAGAUGUGGAAUUGUGUCUUUUUGCCCUUUGAAUCUUUUCCCACAAGAUGAUGGUUUAUUUAUUUAUUUAUUCAUAUAUAUUUUUUAAUUUUUAUGAGUACAAGAUGAUGAUUGAUUUAGCAACUGAGAUAAUUGAUACUAUUCAUCUCAAAGUGUAGCAAACCUUAGUGAGAAAGAGAAAACUGGUUAUUGAAGGACUUAGCACAGAUUUCUGCUCACCUAUGUACUUAAAAAUGAUUUACUAAUCGAAAUGAUAUGAGAGGCAUUAAAGGCAUUACGGGUGAGAUUGUCAUCUCCUACUGGGUUUUUUUUUUUUCCACUUUCAAGUCAGAACGUGGGUGGAAGACAGCAUUCUUUGAGCACAUGGAAUUAAGGUAAGAAUUGGGCUAAACAUGAAUGGGGAUUAUGUUUAUUUUGUGAGAACUGAUCUCAAUCUUCUUUGGCUUUAUACUAAUGAUGGAAGUACUAGCUAAUAGUUAUUGAGUGUUCUGGGGACACAUUGUGUUAAACCCUUGUAUGGAUCAGCUAAUUUGAUCUGCGUUCAUUUUAGAGAUGAGGAAACAGGCACAGAGAUAUAAUUUACUCAGUUAAUGAGUGGUAAUUAUUCCAGAGCCUGAACUACUAAAGCAGAUUGACUCUGAGAUUAAGGGAAUUUAAUACAGAAUAAAAGAAUGAGUUUAGAAGACAUCCUCUCAAAGGCAAAUUUCCUUACAGCAAACACUGCAGAUUAUGGCUUUGUAACAGAAGGGACUGAAACAUUUAGGCCAGUGUUCUUAACUGCUUUAUAAUUGGCAGAUGGCACUUGGUGUGCUGUGAGUUGUUAAUAGGUUAAUAGGUAUUCUUUGGGGAAAUGAGUUUCCUAAUCAAGUAAAGUUGGGAAACAGGUCAUGUUCUCAGUACAUUUGAAAAAAAAUAACUUUAACAUUAUUGAACGUGGCAGGGAAAUUUUGUUUUUUUUCAUGUCCCUGGUUCUGUGAAUUUCUUUAUCAAUUGUUUUGCUAUCAGCAAAGCUUAUCAAUGUGACCUGCAAGAUUCCUCAAAAGAAUAUAUAAUGAGAAGAGAGCAAAACAACAGGAUUUGUAUUGGUAUUUGUAUUCUAGCAUUUUUGAUCACCAACUUGAGUCUUCUAUACUAGCUCAACUUCUGGCUGAUAAAUGGGAUGGUUUGGAUGGUGGAGAGGUUUUCAUUAGAAAGAUAACAGAUUCUUAGAUGUGAUUAGGAAAAGAAGAAAGCAUAAUUUUAUCUGAAGCUUUCCCAAAGUAUACAAGAAUGAGUGUAUUCCGUUUAGGAAUUUCUGUUAAAUUGCUUUCAUUAAACAAAAAUGAGAGAAGUAGCGGCUAAAGUAAUAAGCCAUAUCAAAUAAUUUCUUGGAAAUCUCUCUCUCUAUAUAUAGGGUAUAUAUUUAUAGCAUUAGGGUGUAUUUUCCAUUCCACCCCUCCCCAUCACCAGUGAUAGAUUUUCAUAACUUGUAGUAGCUGGAAACAGGACUGGGAAAAGCUAUGGCAAAUCUCCUGUAGGUCACUGCCCUGUUGUGCCUGUGGAAAGAAACCAGCUUUGUCGGGAGGGAGGGGAGUUGGCCAGGACGUCCUAAUAGGCCGUUUUCUGUCUUCUCUCCAUGAUUGUUCUCAAUCACUUGGCAAUCACGAUGCUAUUAGGAGCACCCUGACUGAAGACACUCAGGUGCUUAGCCUUGCCAUUAACAACAUUGACAGGAAGCUUUGAGGUUGCUGCACAGCUGAUGGGUCUUGAGAGUCUUGAAUUAGAAGUCGGCCUGUCCUUAUGACAUGCGGAAAUGCCCCGGCUCCUUUUGCAGAAGGAUGUUCAGGCAAUAAUUGGAACUGUAUAUAUGUGAAUGUCUAAAUUAUUUCAUCUCCUAUAUCUCUUCAUAUUCUACCAUUUAUUACAUGGAAGUGCAGUAAGUCAUGGAUGUUGUCUGUAUGGUAAUGGCUUGUAUUGAACCUUGAAGUUCACCAUGCCCUGGGAGACGGGAUUUACAGAGGGACGUGCAGAACCCCUUCCUUUCCUAGGCCGUGCCCUGCAGCCACCCUGCUUCCCUACCAUGCUGAGCCAGUGUUGGGCAAAACAGACAUUUCCAGGGUUUGUCACCCCAUUAUAGUCCUUUAGGCUUGUUAAAGUUCAUGAUCUGGUAGUGAUAUUGUUUGGCUCUGUGUCCCUGCCAAAAUCUCAUUUUGAAUUGUAAUCCCCCAUAUUGGAGGAGGGGCCUGGUACAAAGUAAUUGGAUCAUAAGGGCGGAUCUCCCACCCUCGCUGUUCUCGCGAUAGUGAGUGAGUUUUCAGGCGAUCUGGAUGUUUGUGUGUGGCUCCUCCCCCGCCCUUCUCUCUUUUCCUUCUGCUCUGGCCGCGUUAAGAUGUGGCUACUUCCCUUCGCGUUCUACCUCGAUUGAAAAUUUUCUGAGGCCUCCGUAGCCAUGCUUCCCGUACAGCUGUGGAACUGUAUUAUUAUGCCGCUACCUUCAAGAAGUAAUUUGCGUGCUGUUUAUUGGAGCUGUGAAUUUAAUCAUCUCAAUCCCACGCUAUUACAGGAUGACUAUAAGAAGAUGUAUUGACAUUUCUUUGGACACAUAAUUUUGCCUCCAUUGUGUGUUGUUUUGCCAGAAUACUGAAGGCAGUGUUUGUAUGAUGGCACAUCCAAAUAAAAAGCAGGUCCUCCUUUUGGGACAGUGAUCCAUUUAAGUUAUUUGUUUCAGUACAUAUCCUUAGAACUGAAGUUUUAAAAUAAGAAUAAUCCUGGAAAAGAUGUUUAAAGUACCACAAAGGAUAGGCUUGGAAAGGAAACAAAGAUUGAAGGCUUUUUUUUUUUUUUGCCCCUGGGCUGGAAUAGAGUGGAAUGUUAAACAUCCCAAUUCUCCCAACCAGCCUCUCCCAUGUUAUAUAUAUAUAUAUAUUACAUACACAUGCACACGUUUCAAAUUUCAGUCUUACAGUGUAUAUAAAUGUGUAUACUUAUGUUUUCUGCACAAGCCAGGACAUUGGUUAUUUCCUAAUCUAGUCUCCAGAAGAGAAAAAAGAAAAACAUACAGAAAGGAAUGUAUAAGUUACGGAGGAUAAAGAGAGGGGUUAUGAUAUGAUCAAAACAAUAACAGUUAAGAUCUUUUGAGAUGUUAUUAUUGUAACCAGUAAUCAGCUGCUCACCACUCAGAGACCAAAAACAUGAGAAGCAAGGCAUGGUGAAAGGAAAGGAAGGCAACUUUAUUGAUCAAAUGCUAGCAGAUGGGAGAUGGCCGGGCUUCUGCCUCAAAGAAGCCAUCUCUGCCUUUUGGGCUGAGUGAAGGGGUUUUGGCAGGAAAAGGUAUGGGAAAUAUAUGGUAGUGGUGCAGGAAGGCGCAGGUCUGCAUGUCUAGUUCCGAUGUUUAUCUUGAGUAAUUGCCUGUUGGGUUGGUGUCAUCCUGACUUGGGCCGUAGAGUGGUGAGCUAACUAUUCAUACUCCUUCUAAGUGGGAGGAUUCUGCCACUUGGUUUCUUUACCUGUUUCGUUUCAAAAUUGAUCUCUGGAAUUUCUAAGCAAGCACAUAAUCAGAUAAGCAAGCACUGUGCGCAGAAGUUCCUGGUGUGAAAGGGAGAAAUUAAGAGUUUCAAAGUAUGUUUCAAGGUUGAAAGCAAGAAAGGAGAAAAAUGUUUUCAAAUGCAUGUUGAGGCUGGAAUACUUGGCUUCAUUAUGAGCUUGUUAUUCUACAUAUUUUAUAUAAACUAGUGAUUGUAGUUUUGAAUAUUUUCAUAGCAGAGGGUGGAGUAAUUGACAUAGGGGCCUGAAAAAUGCAUCCAGAUGUCUAUCUGCAGGUUUCACAAACUCAGAGUUCACAAGGCUCAAACAAGGUAAUGCCUGGGAUGAAAAACCAUAAACUGAGCACAGAGACCUGUCUGGCCACCCCUGACUGUGGCUGACUGCCCACAGUUGGUACAGCUUCCAAGUUUUAAAGAGAAGCCAUUAAUCUGGAUAUUUAUAUGUGAAAUCUCUUGAUUUUGAAUUUCUGGGAAAUAAUUCAAAACCUUUUCCUUGACAUAUUAUGAAAAGCACACCACACACCCCCACCCACGAGCAGACCUCAUCCUGUGGGCCACCUGCCAGUUUAAGAGAACUACAAAGUCAGCCUGGAGCCUGUGAGAAAACCCGGAGGGGCAAACUGAGAUCCUUGGUGGUUUCAUUAGUGGUUUCCUCGGGAGAUCACCUGACCAUUUAAGAGCUCUGCCUGUCUAGGAUGGUGUUGGGGAAAAAGCAUCACAGUAAUCAAGACAGGUUUCCCUUCAGACAGUGCAGGGCAGUGUUUCUAGUUCUGUUUUCCUUGAGCCUAGUCAAACAUGCACAAAUCCAAAACUUGAGUGACUCUGCGCUACUAAAGCCCUGGAUCCUAGUUUUAUUUUUUGCCAAAGAAUAUUUGAAUAGCAACUGACUUAAUACACUAUAAAUAGUAUCAAUUUUUGGCCAAGCACAGUGGCUCACACCUGUAAUCCUAGCACCUUGGGAGGCCCAGGCAGGAAGACCAUUUGAGCCCAGGAGUUUGAGACCAGCCGGGCAACACAGUGAGACUUCAUUUCUACCAAAAAUAAAAACAAAAUUAGCCAGGCGUAGUGGCAUGUGCCUGUAGUCCCAGCUGCUUGGGAAGCUGAGGUGGGAAGAUUGCCUGAGCCCAGGAGGUCAAGGCUACAAUGAUCAGAGAUCUCACCACUGCACUCCAGCCUGGGCCACAGAGUGAGACCCUGUCUCAACACAAAAACAAAAAUAGUACCAAUUUUUUAGAUCAAUGGAAAGAGAUUUUUAGUACUGUCAUUCUUUUUUCUGGAAAAAGAGAAAAUGGGUGAUUUACUAAUCAAAUAGAUGCAAAGUCAUUUUUGAAUAGGCAGUUAUUUAUGUUAGUUUGUUAUUCACAUUAAUUAGAUACAUUAUUUUAAAUUAUUUAUACUUGUUAAUUUUAUUUGUAUUAUUUUAUUUUAUUUUAUUUUAUUUUUCCUAGAUGGAGGCUUGCUCUGUCACCCAGGCUGGAGUGCAGUGGCAUGAUAUCAGCUCACUGCAACCUCUGCCUCCCGGGUUCAAGCAAUUCUCCUGUCUCAGCCUCCCAAAUAGCUGGGACUAUAGGCACAUGCCACCACGCCCGGCCAAUUUUUGUAUUUUUAGUAGAGACAGAGUUUCACCAUGUUCGCCAGGCUGAUCUCUAACUCCUGAUCUCGUGAUCUGCCUGUCUCAGCCUCCCAAAGUGCUGGGAUUGCAGGCAUGAGCCACCACACCUGACCAUUUAUAUACUAUUUUAAAUUAUUUACAUUAUCCAUUAUUAUAUUAAAAUAUUUACAUUUAUUACAUUAUGACUUGCUUCAUUUUUAAACUAUUCCUUUGUCAUGCAACGCUGCCUCUUUAAAAUAAGUAAGCUACCCAGAGAUAUGCAUCAGGAACAAUAGGAUGGUUCUCUACUGCUCAAAUAUCUGGGGGUGAGAGCUACACAUGAGUAUUUUGAAAAAGAUUCCUAUGUGAUAUAAAAGUGCCUUUCUGAAGAUAACACUAGGCCAGAUGAGCUUUAGGCUGUGUUUGAAUUGAUUUCCCACUACAUUUCUUUCUUAAACCUAAAUUUCACUACAAGUUACCUACGCAUAGGAUUCCAAUGUGAACAGCUGCUUCAUUUCAGCUAAAACAGAACCUCCUUUCAGUGAAGACAUGUGCCUCCACUCCCUGUCUGUGGCACGAUGGGCUGACAUUUUUGGAUCACAGAUCACACAGGCCUAACCUUGCCAUACUAUUCCUUCACCUUUCUGGAAUUCAGCUCUUGCUUCAGAAUAUAUUAUCAGAUGUACAAAUGAAAGCAGGAAAAACUAGGCCAUUCUUAAAAUGCUCCUUUUUCCCUAAAUACCUAGUUGAAUUUUUUAAAUAAAAGAAAUAGAAAUAUAUAAAUAAGUAAACAAGAUCAAAUGAAUUGCAUAAUGUACCAUGUGACCCUCCCUGUCUAUAUGGGAAUUUUAGCAUCAAGGCUAAACAUACACACGAAGCUUCAUUAACUUCUGACCAAUCCUCUCUCUUGUUGUUUCCUAGUUAACUGCCAAAGCAGUUGGCAUUACUAGGAGAAACCUGACAUGACCUGAAUAUACAGGCUGGGAUUCAAAAUUGACUGUGUUAAGUGUGCUGUUUAAUUUUUGAAACAAGAGACUUUUUCUUCAGGUAUACAUUCAAGUAUUCACCAUGGAAUGGCGCCUCUGGUAUUGUGUCUCAGAUACUUCUUGAAAGGCAAGUUAAUCAUGGGUUGGGUCAAAGUCCUGGUUUUACAGUAAGACAUAUGGACAUUAGAUCUACUAGAGGUAAAGAGAUGAAACCUUAGUUUUCAAACCAGGGGUUUGAGAAACCCAAGAAGGAGCUCCCCAGAGGAAACAUUUUUCUUUGCUGGGAGUCUCCAGACUGUGCCAAGUUCCUGAAGCCGUUGACAUACAGUGACCCUUGAACAAGCCACCCCCUCCCAGGAUUCUUUGUUGCCCUGGGGGGUCUUUGAUAAACAAAGACAAAAGUCUUUGAUGAGAUAAUCAUUUAAAAUUUUCUUGAAUUUCACAUUUGCUUGCCGAGGGUCUAGGGGUUUUACUGAAUUGAGCAAUUACUUCAGCAUUUAACAUGUUGGUUUUAUUAGUACUAGCAUAUUCUGAACUGUUGAAGUGUAUCUGUUUUCAAAAUAUGUUGCAUGCGGAUUAACAUAAAAAGGCAAACAGACACGGUGCUUUCCUGUGAAUGCUGGUUUUGAAUGACGAGUGUGUUUGCUGUCCAUGAUGAAGUGCGUAUGUGUUGUUGGCAGGUAUCCCAUGCGCCAUUUCCAAGGGUAGGAACAGUAAGAGGCUUCUGAUCACAACCCCACAGAAGGGAAAGUGGUUGAGUAAGAACCUUGAAUAUAUGGAAAAACAGGUUGAGUGUGGUCUGAACCUGAGGGUAGUGUGUUACCAUGAAACACAAUUCUUCUUCGGGUGUGUGUGCAUGGGGCCCUCCUUCUCUGCUCUUUUCUUUCACAUUUUCAAAGCUCAUCAUGCUGCCAUUUCUUUGAAGAGGUUUAGUAAGAACCUUGAAUAUAUGGAAAAACAUAUUUCUUAUUAGGCACUUCAAAACUAGGUCCCACCCAUGUCUAUUUCCCCUCUGCGUGUUUAUAUAAGAAAUAAAUAAAAAGUUUCAUGAUUUCUAGUUUGCAACCCAUAUUCAACAUGCAAAGACUGACAAUAUUGUUGAAAUAUCUAAAACCUAAGAAAUUAUUUUAGUCAGUGACCAUGGCCUGUUUGUGUCAUGAAUAUCCUUUUAAAAAAAUAUGAGUUUUAUAUGUGCAAAAAUGUAAUAACAACAAAAUUGUGGUAGUAUUAUGAAACAGUUGCAGGCUGGUUUUGUCUGGCCUAAGUGGUCUUUUGCCCUGAGCAUGUUCACUAGUGUGUGUGUGUGUGUGUGUGUGUGUGUGUGUGUGUGUGUUUGUGUUGUGUGUGUUUGUGUCUGUGCUUUUUUUCCUUUACAUGCAGUGGACGUUGCCUGCUAUGGGCCUCUGAGUCGCUUUGGGUGUUUGAUUGUUGAAUUGAAAUGAUUCUUUCCCUUGUACUGCAGAAAUAACCAAUAAUAAUCUUCGCGUGACCUGCAUGUUUUAAGAAAAUUAUCCUGGGGCUAUCCUGGUAGGAUGUACGUACCAUGCAGUUUCUGUGAUAUAUAAAAUUAUUAUCAGAUGAAAACAAAAAAUCAUAUCAGGAAAACAUUUCAUUCCUUAUUUUAGAGCUAGAAUGGACUUUGACUUUUCUUCAUGCUUAUUUAUCUGAGAAAGCAUUAGGUAGACUCUGAAGGAGGCAUUUGCCUUUCUCCAUGGGCUGAAGGGGGCAGUACUCUAUCCAGUUAAGAACUAACGAAGUUGGACAGUUGGACAUUGGAAUGUAACAGAGGCUUCCCGAAGAUUAAGAUAAUGAAGUUUCUCCUUGAUCACCUCUGCAGGGUUUUCUAAAGGACAAAUGAGCAACUAAAAAUGAUUUUCCCUCUUGAGGAAGGAAUUAACUUCUUAUUUAUUAUUUUCCUAAAGAAAAAUUAGAAGUAGAAAAAUAAUAAAUGAUUAAUUUUACUUGUUGUACAUAGAGGCUAUCACUGUGUGGUGCUCUCUUUAUAUGUGAAAGUGUAUUUGAAAUAAAUCUUAAAAUGUGGAGGUACAAGAAGGUGAUUGUUCUCUAAAUUGCUGUAUUACUGUAAAACUAAAUUUGAAGGGAAUUUUUAAAGAACACCAUAUAUUCCAUUAUUUUGACAACCCAUCAAUUUAUGAAAGUAAUCUGAGCACAUACUUCAAUUUAUUAGAGAUAAUUGUUCUGGGAAUGCUAACACCCAAGCUCAAUAAGAUCAAUAAUAAAUUUGUACCUGAAUUUGGGGUUAUGGUUUAACUUUAAUCCAGUCCAUUUACUCCUCAACUAGGCCGGGCGCAGUGGCUCACGCUUGUAAUCCCAGCACUUUGGGAGGCUGAGGCAGCCGGAUUACAAGGUCAGAAAAUCAAGACCAUCCUGGCUAACAUGGUGAAACCCCGUCUCUGCUAAAAAUACAAAAAAUCAGCCAGGCGCGAGGGCGCCUGUAGUCCCAGCUACUCAGGGAGCUGAGGCAGGAGAAUGGCGUGAACCCGGAAGGCGGAGCUUGCAGUGAGCCGAGAUCGUGCCACUGCACUCCAGCCUGGGCGACAGAGCGAGACUCUGUCUCAAAAAAAAAAAAAAAAAGUUGUAACUACUCCUCAACUAUUCACAUACUGUAGAUUGUUUGUAUUAAAUAUAUUAAAUAGGAAAUUUAUCUUCUAAAGUUCAAUCAUUUUAUUUGAAGCAAAUGCAUAUAAUUUUAACUGAUACUGUCUGCUUUUUCAUCUCUUGAAUGUUUUAACACAAUAUUUUAUGUAUUUUUAUCAGAUGACAAUUGUUAUCUCUUUAAUUAAUCCAGUUAACCCAUCCUGCAAUUAAUUCACAAUAGGCAUUUUAGUUGUUACUCAAAGUCCCCACUUAGUAAAUGUUAAUUCAUAAGUAAUAUUCAUAACUGAAUGCUGGAGAAAAACUGCCCAAAGAUUUGGGACUUAAUAGAGUCUGUCUACAGCAUUCUUAACUGGCGUGGUUUAUUAUAAGGUGAAAUUUAUAAAAAGGGAGUUCACAGCCCUUGAAAUGGCUUUCUGGGUGGGUUUCAUGUUUAGUGUUUAUUAAAUGCUCACUGUAUAUCAAGAAAGCAGAGAGGCUUAAUACCCUGCUCAGAGUCACGUAACUAAUGUAUGGAAUAGUCAAACUCAAAACCCAAGUCCAGUGCCUUUUCAGCUGUACAGCACUGACUGCAAAAAUGGUUAGAUCAAGUGAACAUUUAAUAUUCUUUCAAUCUUAGUUUCUAAAUAGAGCUGUCUGCCUAUUUACUAGCUGUGUGACCUUAGGUAAGUUACUUAACCUCUCUGAGUCUUAGACAUCACAUCUGUAAAAAGAAGAUAAUAUUAUUAUGGUAAUUAAAUGAACUAAUAUUUGUGAAGAAAUGAGAAUAGUUCCUGAGACAUAGUAAAUGCUAAAUACAUACUUAUCUAAGUAAAAUAAAUAUAACUAUUUCUCAAGUAAACUUUUUAUACAAGGAUAAAAGUGUAACAAAUGAUAAGCAGAAAAUUACUCUUGAGCUAAAGAAAGGAAAGUAGAAUUGCUUAUACUGAAAGAGAAAUGAUUUUUAUAUAGCUCACAGGAUUCUGUGGGAAAUUAUAUCGGUGAAAACAAAUGACCUAGUUUCUUCAACCAAAAAAACUACAAGGGAGAAACAGGGAGGGAAAAGGGGAAGGCUGUGGAUUAAAAGAAACCCAGGCUGGGCGCGGUGGCUCAUGCCUGUAAUCCUAGCACUUUGGGAGGCCAAGGCGGGUGGAUCACCUGAGGUCAGGAGUUUGAGACCAGCCUGGCCAACAUGGUGAAAACCUGUCUCUACUAAGAAUACAAAAUUUAGCUGGGUGUGGUGGCACGUGCCUGUAAUCCCUGCUACUUGGGAAGCUGAGGCAGGAGAAUCACUUGAACCUGGAAGGCAGAGGUUGCAGUGAGCUGAGAUCGCACCACUGCACUCCAGCCUGGGCAACAGAGUAAGACUCUGUCUCACAAUCAAUCAAUCAAUCAAUCGAUCAGUAAAAGAGACCCAGCAAUCACCAGGUGUGAGGCUUACUUGGAUCCUACCCUAACUAAACUGUAACAAGAACAAUUAUAAGAUGGUAGAGAAGUAGAGACGUCAAUUGUAUAUUUGAUAAUAUCAAGCAGUUGCCAUUAAAAUUUUUAAGUGUGAUAAUAGUAUUCUUGUGAUUUUUAAAAACAAAAUUCCUCUAUUUUAGAGCUAUAUACACAAAUAUUUACAAAUGAAAUUACACCUAGAAUUUGAUCAAAAUAACUGUGUGUGCCUGUGUGUGUGUGAGUGUGACUAUAGAUGAAAUAAGAUUGUUCAUGAGUGUCAAAAUUGAAGCUGGGAGAUGGGUAUGUGAAGAUUCAGUCUGCCAUUCUUUCUAUAAUACUUUUCUAUAUGUUUGAAAAUUUCCAUAGUUAAAAAGAAUUUAAUGGAAAAAAAUGUCUUUACUGGAAAAACUAUUCUCAGAGUUCUUAAUAAUGAUGUCUGAUAUUUACAGAGUGCUUUAGAUGAAUUGUCUCAAUCUUUACAACAACUUGAUGAGGUAGGUCCGAUUAUUAUACCCAUUUAACAGAUGAUAAUAUGGGCCCAAUCUUUGCUCUUCAGCAGUCUGUUUUCCAGAGGGGAUAGAUGUCUGCAUCAGACAAAUCUGCUCCUGAGAACUGCUGUCCAUCCAGAGUGGGUAAACCAGGAGAGUGCCAUUCUCACAAACAGUGUUUUCACAAAGUGCACACUGUCCAGGUGCAUUACAUGUUAAUUACACCCAUCUUGUGUCUCACUAGUGAUUUAGGAGAGUAGGCCAGGCAUUGUGAAAAGCUCCUGUACUAGCUGUGUGCCUCUGGGAAGGUUUCUUUCUUUCUUUUUUUUUUUUUUUUUGAAACAGGAUUUCCCUCUAUCACCCCGGCUGGACUAUGGUGAUGGGAACAAGGCUUACCGCAGCCUCCACCUCACAGGCUCAUUACAGGCAUGCACCACCAUGCCCGGCUAAUUUUGGUAUUUUUAAUAGAGACGGGGUUUCACUAUCUUGGCCAGGCUGGUCUCGAACUCCUGGCCUCAAGUCAUCUGCGCUCCUCGGCCUCCCAGGGUGCUGGGAUUACAGGCGUGAGCCACCAUAUCCAGCCAGCAAGUUACUUUCUUUAUCUGAGCUUCAAUUCGCCUGUAAAAAUUGCUAUUUCCAUCCCUAUUUCACUGGAUGGUUGUGAGGAUGAGUAGUUUGAAGACAGAGACCCUUGAAGGGAUCAGAUGAAGAAGCUCACUCCUCUGGAUCCUCAGUGCUGGGCACAGAAUGAAUGUUUAGAACUGUGUCUUUCGUGACUACCUCCCUCCCUUCCUCCUCUUUUGAGUGGAGUGAAAAAUUUGAAGCUGUUUCCUGGGCUGCUCAGACUCCCUGAGGCCUUGGUGUCCUAUAUAAUUCAGGGAUGGCUGUGAAUGAGUACAACAGUGUAGGUGAGGUGACCUGGGACUUCCUUGCUCCUCUGUUGUGUGUUGAUUGCACACACUCAUGCUAGAUUAUUUCUAAGGCCUUAGUGGUUCAAGUUUACAGAUUUUAUGGUACUUACUUUCCACUUCACUUUCAUGUACUUUGUCAAGGAGAAUAAUCUAUAGACUAGAAAUGCCAAAAUAAUUAGAGUUAAAGUGGAAAUCCAAGAUGAGAAAGCAGUGUGAGAGAGCAUACAAAUUUAGUUAAAUGACGUCAAAGGAUACUGAAAAGGCUUACAGAUAUGUCUUCAUAGCCAGUCCGAUGUCUUCAAGAAACUAUCAUGGAAGGUCUCAGAAGACAUUUAAGGAACCAAAAGUGGGCAAAGGUGGAUUUCAAAAACUAUGGGUUGGUACUUAAUAUGCACAGUGGUAGCCUGGAAUACAAGGACUAGUAUGUUUUACUAAACAUCUCGAACGUAAAGCAGGGGUCACUAGGCGGCAGCCUGGAUUUGCCAAAAAUAAGGCAUCCAAAAGUAGGCUCAUUUUCUUUAUGAUGGAGUUGAGACUAGGUCAUGGGCUGUAACACAUGUGACUCUAUCAGGAUUUCAGGGGUUUAAGUAACACACCCCCUCAAUCUACCCGUGAGGACCAUGUUCAGUAACAGUCACAGGCUGUUAAAUAUCAUGUCAAAAGAAAUGCCUGCUCUUCUCCUCUGGGUACCAGUGUUUUAGAGGGAUGCUGACACUAAAGGUAAUGUCAAGUUUGGAAAUUAGGAAGUAGUUGAAUGGGUCAGGGACGUUUGCUGGAAGAAAAGAAUCCCUGUGGGACAUGUGAGCACUGUGUCACAACAUUUGAAUAUGAGGAAAAAGAGGUGUUUCCUUAUCUAUGUUUUUUGGGAAGUGCUACCGCAGGGAUUGCUAGAACAGUGAAAAACAUGGCUGGAAGUUCUGUGAGGCUGAAGUGAGUGGUCUAGGCCCUGAGGGACUGGCCCUGCAAAUGGAGGGGCAGGAUGUUGUUCAGGGCAUGAAGGCAACAAGGUUGCUGCUGAAUUAAAUGGGGAUGGUGAAGAUGGGGGCAAACACUGUUUUGACUUCACUCAAUUGGAUAUGAUCUCUUCUAAAUUUUGACUUAUACCAUUCUUGUAGUAAUUUUGCCAUGCCAUGAUUUUUUAAAACCUGUCUUUUUGUUUUUUGAGACAGGGUCUCUAUCACUGAGGCUGGAGCACAGUGGCACAAUCUCAGUUCACUGCAACCUCUGCCUCCCUGGCUCAAGCAAUCUUUCCACCUCAGCCUCCCGUGUAGCUGGGACUACAGGCACGCGCUACCACGCCCGGCUAAUUUUUUUUUUGUAUUUUUAGUAGAGACUGGGUUUCACCAUGUUCCCUAGGCCGAUAAACCUGUUUUAUUAUCUUUAUUUAUCAGCCAUUUGAAGGUAGAAACUCCGUUCUAUUCCUUCUUGAAUUCUUAUAGCUGCUGCGUUGGUUGUCUUUAGUAUUUUCCAUUAAUUUUAAUACCAUUUUCUGUCAUUUUCAAAUAGCUAUUAAGUUUCCAAAAGUAAUUGUUUUUUUCUGAGAAGACAAAAAUCAAAGGAAUCAUGCUUGGAUUUUGGAAAAUAUAUCUCUCCCUACAUGUUGGUGGGAACAAUUCUGGCCCUUCUGACUUAGUCACAAUAGACAAGUUGUUCUUUAUAUCUAGAGGGCAAAACCUCACUCAUCAAGCCAAAGUUUCUCACCAACUCAGUUGAAUACAACAUGUAAUUACUUAAGAGUAUUAUAUUUUCACCUUGGUAAGUGUUCAGAAAUUGCGGAUUUAUCCCAAUUAUCAAGUCUGGUUGGGAAGAGCCUUUGAAAUGGAGUCCACCAUGUAAUGGGGGAAAAGAUGUCCCUUACUCAAGGAGACCAGUCUCUUGGUAUGUGUGUGGUGGAAGGGACAGACUGUGGCACAUUCAUCGUUCAGGAGCACAGGUCAUUUGGAUUAGAAUCAGAUUCUACCACUAACCAGUUAUCUGACCUUGGGCAAGUUACUUAAACUCUGUGCCUUAGUCUCCUCACCUGUGCCAAGGAGAUAGUAAUAAUGCCCACCGCAUAUGGUGGUUGUAAUGUUUGAAUGACUUCUUGUAUAUACAUACUUAGAGCAGUACAUGGGUGGUAAGUACUACAUAAGUGAUUUUUAUCAUCAUUAUUAUGCAUAAGGCCAAUCCAGUGGAGAAAAUUUACUUGGAAAAAGAAUAAAGAAAGACUAAUUGUUCUCCUUCACCUCUUUGGUUCCUCUUCUGGUUUGACAGUGGGGCCACAGUUUCACUUGGAGAGAAAAAAGGGAUGUAUGAAAAAGAGAGAGAAGAGGAGAAAGAAAGGAAGGGAAAAAUGACAGCUGAUAUUAUGCUGCUGUUCAUUUCUACCAGGAAAUGAAGUCCAUUGCAUUGAUGGACAGUAAUUCCCUAAAAAAGCAAAUUCUGGAGUUAAUGCAAACAGCCAUUGGGUCAUUAUUAUAAAUUUCACUUCUGAAGCAUUCAGCCAGUGAUAGAACCAACCCUAUAUAUGGGUUGAACCAACCCGAAUGACCCCCAUAAUCAGUAGUUUGAUCUGGCAGUACAAUUAAGUCAAUGGAUGCCUACUAAGGUACUCUCCAUUUAUUGACUCUUGUUGAUUUAAAGGCUAAGGGCCUUCUCUCUAAGUUGCAUUUUGGUUAAUGACAUUUAAUGAUAUUUUCAUGCUAAUAACCUCAACUUGCUGACAUCUUCAGAUGUAUUUCUUUGGCUUCUAUAUUAUAACUUUCUUUGGCUACCCAAGUUUUUGAUAGGAAAUAUUGUCUGUUACUGAAUAUUUUUUUGUUUUGUUUUGUUUUUUUGAGACACAGUCUUGAUUUGUUGCCCAGGCUGGAGUACAGUGGUGUGAUCUUGGCUCACUGCAACCACCACCUCCUGGUUUCAAGCGAUUCUCCUGCCUCAGCCUCCCAAGUAGCUGGGAUUACAGGUGCCUACCACUACACCUGGCUAAUUUUUGUAUUUUUAGUAGAGAUGCGGUUUCACCAUGUUGGCAAAGCUGGUCUUGAACUCCUGACCUCGUGGUCCACCCACCUUGGCCUCCCAGAGUGCUGGGAUUACAGGUGUGAGCCGCUGUGCCCAACCUGUUAGUAAUAAUUUGUUGGGAGAGAAACCAUCCUAUAAAUGUGUGGAGGACUCUUGCUGGGGAUGAUGUCAUAUUAUAAGUUUUCAGUAAAUAUAGGUUGAAUGAAUAAAGGAGUACGAAUCAUUUCAAGCAGUUUAUACCAAACCAUUUGUUGGAAUAUGACCGGGUUAGAGUGUAUGAUAGAUGUGAAUGGCAAAGAAGCCAGAGGAACCUUGAGUUGUAUUCAGAGGAUAUAUUGACUCUGAAGAUAAAGGAUAGAAGAGUUAAGAGGGCAUCUUGGUAUUCAUUUGGCAAGAUUAAUGUGAAGAAAAUUGUAACCUCCAAAAAGAGAAAAGUGAUUUAUUCCGUUCUAUUACUAAAGUAGUGUGUAUAUGCGCACGUGAGUGUAGUUCUAGAUGUAUAUAUACAUAAAAAGCAAUGAAAUUAGAUUUUUCUUAAAUAAAACCCGCUUAUUUUCAUCACUGUACAAAUUGUUGUCAUUCAGACUUUUGAUAAAUUAUUUUCUUUCCUCUUUCUUAUUCCUUAUCUGCUGAAUGCGUAUCACACCCCUCAUGAGCCAGAAACUGGUUUAUUAUAUGAUAUAAAAUAUAUCAAGGUUAUUGGCACAUAUGGGAGCUUUCCUGUAGGAGACAUAGAAUUAUGUGUUUUACAGAACUUCUAGAAAACACAGUCUCUACCUGCUUAGAAUUUACAUUUGAACAUAUUGAGAGGUAGGUAUUGUCUUAAGCAAAACCAUCGCUUGAUUCUAAAUGUCAACAUGCAUAAAUAGCAUAUGAAAUCUGCUUUAAAUCACAGAUGAGGUCAUUGAAAAUGUGCAUCUUUUUAGAUGAAUGCAAAUACAGGACAAAAUUUCCUGAAAAUAAUGUAUUUCACUUAGUUGGCUCCAUAUUCCCAAUCUGGGUUAUUAUGUUAUCAAUUUAUCCUAGUAACUCUCUUUUUCAAUUAAUUAUUUAAUGUGUGUUUUUGUGUCUAUACGUAUUCAUCUAUUUUUGUUCCAGUGCCACAUGUCUCCUGACUUUUCUUCCUCAGAGUAAAAAUGCAAGGAUCCGUUGCUUCUUUCUCUUCCCCUCCUGUGACCUCUCUCCCUUGCACACAUUGCUUUAGACCAGGCUUCUCACAGUUUGAUGAGGCUCAGGAUAAUGGGAGAAGGAAGGCAGCUGUUCAAACACAGAUGACUGGGCCCGGCACAGUGGCUAACGCCUGUAAUCCCAGCACUUUGGGAGGCCAAGGCGGUGGAUCACUAGAGGCCAGGAGUUUGAGACUACCCUGGCCAACCUGGUGAAACCCCAUCUACUAAACAUACAAAAUUUAGCCAGGCGUGGUGGCGCAUGCAUGUAGUCCCAGCUACUUGGGAGGCUGAGGCAAGAGAAUAGCUUGAACCUGGGAGGCAAAGGUUGCAGUGAGCUGAGAUCGGGCCACUGCACUCCAGCCUGGUGACAUUGCAAGACUCCAUCUCAAAAUGAACAAACAAACAAACAAAACACUAUGGAUGGCUGGACUCCACACCCAGCCCUAGAUUAUGACAAAGUAGAUCUGAGAAGUUGCAUUGCUGACAGAGUUCUGGGUGCUGCUGCUGCUGGGCAGAUGACCACAUCAUGGCUCCAACGACACAUCUCCUUUCUGCUCCUGGAACACACCAGACUUGUCCCAUCUCAGGGCCUUUGCACUGGCCAUUUCUUCUUCUUGGAAAGCUCUCUUGUCGAGACCCUUCAGGUGUUUUCUUAAAUGUUAUUUUCUCAUGAGGGCUUCUUUGGUUGCUGAAGUUAGAAUUGCAACUCCCCCUUGCUCUACAAUACUUCCCACCCUCUUUCCUUGCUCUUUUUUUUUUUUUUGCCAUUUAUCUUUCACCCGUUUAACAUGUUAUAUAGUUUACUUAUGUGUAGUGUUUUUUUUCCCCCAUCUGUCCCCCUAGUAAAACGUAAGCAACGGAAGUGUAGGGAUUGUCUAUAUUUGGUUGCUUUCUUGUUGUAUCCUCAGCACCUUGAACAGUUCCUGGUACAUAGUAAGCCUCAGCAAGCACUUGUUGAAGGAGUGAAUGACAGAUUCACUAAGAGUUUACAACAGGGAUCCAAAAGAAUUAUUGCAACCACAAAACAGGGUUCAGUCAGUGAUGGUUAUAAUUAAUGCAUGUCGAAGGCUCGUAGCUCUCUAGGGGUUUGGAGAAAAUGUUUACUUUUUGGGAAUUUAUAUCCUGAAAGACAUGAAAUUAUUAACCCCCGUAAAAAAAUGGAUCCAACCAGAUGACACUAAUCACACGAUUGAGGCCUGUUCUUGUACUAGGUGCAAAAGAGUUGAGUUUCUGCUGGUGAGACGCUAACUCUCUUCUUCUUAGGACCUUUCUUUAUUCUUUUUUUGGAUUAAAGAAUAAUACUUUUGGAAAUAUUCAUUUUUUUUCAGAAGAGAUCUGAACUGACUUACAGGAAAUACAAACGUAUAUAAUAAAUAGAAGAUGGUACAUAAAUAAUUAUAUGAAAAUCUGGUAAUAUGAUAGUAAUAACUAGUAAUAGAAACUCUCAUUAUAUAUUAAAUAUCAAUUGAUUAUAUCUCAUUGUAGCAUUCUAUCAGAACCUUGAAAACAGUUACAUCCCUGGCUCCAUGCUUUUAAUUCUUUGAUAAAAUUGAAUAUAAUAUAUUUGUAGAGCAGAGAAUCUUUGUGUACAUGUGUAUGUCAGUAUUAUUCCUCAUUAUCUCUAUGGUAAAAUGGAAGAUAUAAGCAUCUUGUUCUUGAAGUCUGAAUUUAUAAUCUUGAUAUGUCCCUCUGACAAGUGCAAAAUCUUACUCAUGUCACCUCUGCCUUUAAAAAUAAACUGUUGUCUUUAUCAAAAACAACAGAGAAACACCAGGCCUCACAUAAUGCAAUCGUGUUUCAUUGUGAUACCAGUUCUCAGUCUUCCUUAGGUAUUUUUCUAACUCUUGAAGUUUAAACCCAAUAAUAGGAAUUUUUGUUCAUGUUUUAUAUAUUUAUGAAUUUUUCAAUAUACAUACUGUCACAAUGGAAAUUUUUGGAAAGCAGAAAGAACUGUUAAUUAUUCCAUCAUCAUUUGCAGUAAUCUCUCACAAACCCUUUUCUGGAAUUGAUAGAGAUAUUUUUCAAGGUUUGCAAGUAAUAAUUAUAGUAUUGAAAAAAUGACAGUUUGUGUGUACUCACUGUGAGCUGUGUACUUUUACUGGAAACAUGCAAAUUAGGGCUCAUGGAAGGCUGCAUAAUAGCCUCUAAUUAUGUCAUAUUUCCCUGAAAUUGUAUUAUAUUUACAUAUUCUGGAACUGAGGAUGACACCAUAGAGGGUCCUCUCAUGGCACACUUAUGGAAUCUGACCUCCUGGUGGCUCAGUUAAGGCAGGAAUGAACACAGAAAGCUAUGCUAACUAGAGACUUCAGCACUCUGCACUUAAGCAUUUCCGAAAAGAAAUAUGUUAGAAGCAAUUUGAAGCAUGUUGGAAUUUGUUUGGAAUCCAGAUUUCUGCUUUUAGAGCUACUUACUGUAUACUUAAGGAGUUCUCAUACAAUUGGAAGCAAUUUGUGGGUGACUGCAUUUAUUUUUGCCUUAUUGCCCUAGAGCAGUAAACUGUCAGACUACAACAGAAUUGGAAUGUGAUGCUUGUUUCAUAUGAUUUUACAAGGAGUAUGACCGAUUUCACUUUGACAAAGAAACAUAACAGUCAAUGCAUUUGCUUAAAUAUUAACACUGUUAUCAGUAUUGAUUCUGACAUUCAGAAAGCCAAUGCUGCUUUCCUUUGCUGCAGCCAUGAUUUAAAUAUGCAUUCACUGGGAAGUGCAGAGUUCAUGGGAGGCAGGCCCUGUCUAGGAGUAGAGGAAUUUGUUGGACUUUUAUACAGUGCUUAUCACGUCACAGGCAUACAUUGAAUGGGAAAACACCACACACACAGACGCCCCUACUCAUAGUUGUAACUGCUUUGCUAUCAUUAGUACAAUAUUUUCAUUUUAUUUCACUUCAUUCUCAUUAGUACAACAUUAACAUUUGUGGGUACAUAGUAGGAGUACAUAUUUUAUGGGGUACAUGAGAUGUUUUGAUACAGGCAUGCAAUGUAAAAUAAGCAUAUCAUGGAGAAUUGGAUAGGUAUCCGUCCCCUCAAGUAUUUAUCCUUUGAGUUACAAACAAUCCAGUUACACUCUUUAAGUCAUUUUAAAGUGUACAAUUAAGUUAUGAUUGACUAAAGUCACCCUGUUGUGCUAUCAAAUAACAGGUCCUAUUCAUUCUACUUUUUUGGUACCUGUGAACCAUCCCCACCUUCCCCCCAGCCCCUCACCACCCUUCCCAGCUUCUGUAACCAUCUUUCUACUCUCUAUGUCCAUGAGUUCAACAGUUUUAAUUUCUAGAUCCCACAAAUAAGUGAGAACAUAUUUGUCUUUUUGUGCCUGGCUUAUUUCACUUAAUAUUGUGAUCUCCAGUUCCAUCCAUGUUGUUGCAAAUGACAGCAUCUAUUUCUUUUUAUGGCUGAAUAGUACUCCAUUGUGUAUAUGUACCACAUUUUCUUUAUUCAUCUGCUGAUGGACACUCAGGAUGCUUCCUGAUCUUAGGUAUUGUAAACAGUGCUUCAACAAACAUGAAAAUAUAGAUGUCUCUCCGAUAUACUGAUUUCUUUUCUUUUGGGUAUAUACCCAGCAGUGGGAUUACUGGGUCAUAUGGUAGCUCAGUAUUCAGGUUUCUGAGGAAACUCCAAAGUAUUUUCCAUAGUGGCUGUACUCAUUUAUAUUCCCACCAACAGUGUACGAGGGUUCCCUUUCCUCCACAUCCUCACCAGCAUUUAUUAUUGCUUGUCUUUUGAAUAUAAGCCAUUUUAACUGGGGUGAGCUGAUACCUCAUUGUAGUUUUGAUUUGCAUUUCUCAUUGAUGACUAAUGAUGUUGAUCACUUUUUAUGUGCCUGUUUGCCAUUUGUAUGUCUUUUUUUUUUUUUUUUUGAGAAAUGUCUACUCAAAUCUUUUACCCAUUUUUGGAUCAGAUUAUUAGAUUUUUUCCUAUAGAGUUUUUUGAGCUCCUUAUGUAUUCUGGUUAUUAAUCCCUUGUCAGAUGGGUAGUUUGAAAAUAUUUUCUCCCAUUCUGUGGGUUAUCUACUCACUUUCUGGAUUGUAUCCUUUGCUGUGCAGAAGCUUUUGAACUUGAUAGGAUCUUAUUUGUCCAUUUUUGCUUUGGUUGCCUGUGCUUGUGGAGUAUUCCUCAAGAAAUCUUUGACCAGACCAAUGUCCUGGAGAUUUUCCCCGAUGUUUUCUUGUAUUAGUUUCAUAGUGUGAAGUCUUAGAUUUAAGUCUUUAAUCUAUUUUGAUUGAUUUUUGUAUAUGGCAAGAGAUAGGGGUCUAGUUUCAUUCUUCUGCAUAUGGAUAUCCAGUUUUCCCAGCACCAUUUAUUGACGAGACAGUCUUUUCCAUGGUAUAUGUCCUGGACACCUUUAUAAAAAAUGAGUUUACUGUCAGUGUAUGGAUUUGUUUCUGGGUUCUCUAUUCUGUUCCAUUGGUCUAUGUGUCUAUUUUUAUGCCAGUACCAUGCUGUUUUGAUUACUAUAGCUCUGUAGUAUAAUUUGAAGUCAGGUACUGUGAUUCUCUCAGUUUUAUUCUUUUCGCUUAGGAUAACUUUGGCUAUCCUGGGUCUUUUGUGGUUCCACAUAAAUUUUAGGAUUUUUUUUUCUAUUUCUGAAGAAUGUCAUUGGUAUUUUGAUAGGGAUUACAUUGAAUCUAUAGAUUGCUUUGGGUAGUAUGGACAUUUUAACAAUAUUGAUUCUUCCAAUUCAUGAACAUGGAAUAUUUUUUAUUUUUUGGUGUUCUCUUCAAUUUCUUUCACCGGUGUUUUAUGGUUUUCAUUAUAGAGAUCUUCCACUUCUUAGGCUAAGUUAAUUUCUAGGUAUUUAAUUUUAUGUGUGGCUAUAGUAAAUGGUAUUACUUUUUAAUUUCUUUUUUAGUACAGUAUUUUUAGUGUUCAAGAAUAUAGUUGAGUACAAAAGCAAUCUUCAGCAUAAAAGCUGAAGUUGUCAUAUAUGGCAGCCACUGUCAAUGGUACUCAUAUUGAUGUGUCUCUUUUUUUCUAGAAAGUGGGAAAAUGUAAAACUGCUUGUCUAGUGCAUUUUCUGUAUAGAUAUGAAAGUCAAACCAUUAUCUUCUAACUGUGCAAUUCAACUAUAUCAUCCUCACUUCCUCCAUUAUGGAAAAGGCCUGCUUGGGUCAGUGGUAUUUAAGCCAAGGCUUUCCCACUACUAAUACUAAUUUCAUGCAGUUCCAGAUUUGGGGAAUAUAACUUAACCUAGACGAGUUGAAGAUCAUUGUAGCAACUCUUACUGAAUGCAGGCUGUAUACAGAACAUCUCAUUUUGCCAGGGACCAUGGAGAGCCAUAAGAGGAAAUACAGUGCUUCUUCAGAGUUCAUAAUUAAACUGUAAAAAGGGGGCUAAUAUAAAUAAAGACUUUUAAUUAUAGAAUAUAUGUUAAGUUACUGACUUCUAAAAUAACAUUGAACACAAAUGAAUGCUUUUCAUUUCAAAGUAGACUCCUUGCACAGACAAUAUAAACUUAUAACAAGGCCAUUUCUCAAGAGCAUUUUAGAACCUAUAUUACGUUUUUUAGUAUUCUCAAAGGAGGAUAAUGCAUGUCAUUUGCCAGAAUUUUGGAAAGAAUCAAAAACCAUUUGUAGGCAUGUCUGAUGAGUGAGAUCUACAAUCAGAAAGCUGAACGUCAAGUUUGAAAAAAACAAAAACCGUGUUUGCAGUCAAAGAGUUGCUGUAAUAAAGAAGACCACCAUUAGUCUUAGUCAGCAUAUUUGUGUCAUAUAAGAUUCCUUGAGUAUUUGACAUAUACCAAAACUGAUUUGGGCUAUUAAUACAAUACGCAGCAUACACAGAAAUCAAGAUUUGCUACUUCAACAAAACCAGAUAGCAAAAAAAGAAAUCUUGGUGUUCAAAUCAAAUUAUAAUUUGAUUUGGAUCCUGGGGAUGUUGGAGUUUUCUAGUAAAUACAUUAAGCAUUUUGCAUCUAGAUUAUGUUACAGGAAAUUUUAAAAACGUUUAAAAAGUGGUUUUUAAGGUACUUUUUUUGGAAGACUAAAGAAAAUGACCCAUCUGAAUGUUUUCUUUUGUUACCUAAAAUGCACAGCAUAAUUUUUGUAGAAAUUUUUCUUGCAACAUAGUUACUUUCAGAACAAAUCAAAUUAGUUUUAAUUUUACCAUUUAGGAGUCAUUUGAUUUUGAGCUUAGAUUCCUUAUCUGUAAAUAGAGAAGGCGAGACUGAAUUGACAUUAAUGUCCUUAUCAACCCUGCGCUCGCGCAGUUAUUUGUUCCUUCCUUUAGUGUAAGUCUGUAGCCACCAUUUGUGUCUUAAUUAAAUGAUCUAAAUCUUUAAUGUUUUCACCAUUUUUAUGAAUGAAUCUCAUAGUCUACUAUAGACUAUCAGACUGAUCUGAUAGUCGUGUCGUGUAGCAACAUAAACAUCUUCCACAACCUUUAAAAAGUUUGUUGGCAUUAAAAUUGUGGCUUUCAGCAUCCUUUCAUUCCCAGAGGCUUAUUUUAGCAUGUCAAGUGGAUGUGUUGAAGAUUUAUCACAUAGAACUCCACAUUAAUUUUUUACUUUAAGUGAUCACCCAUUUUUGUUCCGACAUAAAGCAAUAUUCACUGCAGCUGUUAGCAUAUGACAGUUGACUGGCUGAGCUUGGAAAUACUGCUGCUGCUCGUUGAAACAUGCUGCCAUAGAUUCUUGCUGCAAUGUGAUUGCUCUUCUGUCUUCACAAGUUAUUCAAGAAGAAAAUUAGUCUCAUUUCUUUACGGAGACACUUUGCAUAAACAUGCAGUCAUCAUUGAUCUACAAAUCAUAUAAAGUUAAAUGUAAUCAAUUAUAGUUAUAUAUAAGUAUUCAGGGUGCUACUAUAGGGGUGUCUUUGCUGCCAAUGGCUGAGAGGGGUUGACAACAUCAUUUCAGAGACCCUCAUUCAUUUGCAGCUGGGAUUCCUUGAUCUAAGAAUGGACUGACAUGUUUUUAUGAGUAUAAAUACUCACAGAUGUCCUCAUUCUUUCUGAGCAGUUUGGAUGCCAUUUUGAGACCAGUUAGAACCCCUUCCCACUCUGUUUGGUUAAGAGACAGAAUUAUGUCACAUAUAAACCAACACUGGUUUAAUCCAAAAGUCAUUUAUACAUUUGGCAUCAGUUCUGGUACUUCAGUUUUCUGCUAGUGUUUGUAUCAUAGCAAUAGAUUCCCUUUAAGAGUCAUAGGUGUCUGUGGAUGUGUUUAAGGAAGCAAUGUUUAAAUGCACUGAGAGGAACUGUGCUCACUUAGAAGAAAUGAGUCAUCAAAGUUGGGAAUUUUUUAAUCCUUGGAAAUUUUAAGGGAUUUUAUUUUUCUAUUUACUAAUUAAGGAUAUUUUGGAAACUUAAUUUUUUUGGUCAAAUAAAAUAGAUAAAUGGUAUUUCCCCUUUCCAAUCUUAACAUCGGUUCUACCUAAGAGAGUGACUUCUUUAACUUGUUUAACACUAACCUUUAAAAAAAUCAGUAAACAAAGCAGCAUUGCAAGCCUAGUGAGUUUUUCAUUCAACCGAAUGAAAUCAUAUGUAAAUUAUUGGUUUAGACAGUGUUUGCUUCUAUGAUUUGUUGUUUAGGAAAAGUUGUAUGCACCACAGCACAGCCACAGCCUGGGUUGUGCCUACUUUGAGAAACCUUACUGGGUGACAGAAUGGGGUAACAGAGCCAUAAUUUAUAGUCACUAAUAUGAAGAUGUGAUAUCAAUUACUUAGGAAAAAAUACCCCACUGGAUUUAUAUCCUUUAGUUAUUAAAAAGUGGCAGCUAUCUUAAAUUAGCUAAAGAAACUAAAGAAUUUAGCGACAGAAAUUAAUCACUGUCAUGAUCCAUACACAGACUCUGAGUUGCAGCACUCUGCAAAACAUUUGUUUGGAAAAGGAAAAUUGCUAUUAUGGUCACCUUAAUAGAAACAGACAAUCAAACAAAUCUUAAUUUAAAAGAUUGCAUGUGGUCAUAAAUCAUAAUGGCACAGAGAUUUAAGGCACAAAAAGCAACUUCAUAAAGAAAUGAGGCAUGCCAGGGAGAGCCAGCAACCAUGGCUGGUGCCGUCCUGUCUGCCCAUCCUAUCAGUGAUGUUGCAAAUGUUUUGAUAUUUCAGCACUGAGCUGGAUUGUUCAUUUUGCAGUAAAAUGCAACAGUCUCCUAAUCUGUUUUCUUGCCACUGGCUUUCUAAUCUUCUUUAACCAAUUCUCUACCUAGCAAGUGGAAGAAGGAGAGCCUUAAAAUGGAAAUCGAGUCAGGGCAUACGUUCCCCCCAGUCAAAAUCAUCAGCAUCUUUUACUUGCAGUUGGGAUUAAAUCCAACUCCAUGAAGUGAUCUGACCUCACUUCCUGGGCUCCAGCACACUGGCCUGCUUCGGUUCCUUCCCUCCUCCUGUUGGGGGUACUCUGAAAGAAGUACUUUGGGCUACUCUGAAAGAAGGGUACUCUGUAAGAAUGGGGGGUACUCUAAAAGAAGGUCAUCUUAAUGUUUACUCUGCAUUGGAUGUAAUCCAUUAUUUCUAAUACUUUUAGUUUCACUUGAGCUGAGUCACAAAAACCAAAAAACAAAACCUAAACAAACAAGAAAACCUCCUUAAGAGAGGAAUGGGGUAGGAGCUAAGCCAAUGGAAUUAAAAUCACUUAGUAACUGCGGUAGGCAAUGCAUAUUGCUAAUUGUCAUAUUAGCCGUAUGUUGUGUUCUGUUUACAUAUGGUGAAAUGUAUGUACACCUUAACUGAUAUUUUGUGGAAGAGCACAAAUGUUUGCAUGCCUCUGAGUGAUAGAUGCCCCAUUAUGGAGUGUUACUUGGUAGUUGCAACAUCCUCUUGGAAGGCAGAAGAAAUCAACAUAAGCUAAAUUUUCCUCAUUACUGUAUUGCUUCACCAUCUGUCUGCCUAGCUUUCUCAGGCGUCUUUAAAUAGGCUUCAGACUGGCCAGUGUCACCAAGCAUCCAAGCUUUACAGAUGGGGCCUAGAUGCUGGGCCAACUGAACUACAGCUGUGUCUAGUACAGGCCAGGACACACUCCUUUUGGCCAAUAACUCUUGUUUGGUUUUGAUAAUGAUCUGAUAGCAUUAAUAUCUCAGAAGAAGAAUUCGUUGUCCUUAGUGGUAGGGUAAGAUAUAUAUGUAUAUAUCUAAUAUGUAUAACUUAUACAUAUAUUAUUUUUAUAUAUUUAUUAUAUAUACAUACACAUAAUAAUUUUUAGCUAAAAAUAAAAACUGCCAACUUCAGAAUAAACAAUUAUUUCUUAAAGUCUAGGUUCCCAAGGCAGGAGUAGUGGGAAAAUUAUCUGCAGUCAAUGAAGUGAAGUCAUCAUUUGGCAGCAUGAUUUCAAAAUGGAGUAAUCAGUGUAUCCUAUAUGAAUUAAGUCUAAGCCUUCUGUGUGGUCUUUCUUUAAGACCAAAGCACAAAUAGAGUUUGGAAAAAAUAGACUCAAAUGCAAUUUCAUUUUUUUACAAUAUUAUACAGAAUAUGUAAAUUCUUAAAGCACAUGCUUCCUGAAUUAAGUACAACCUCAUGAAAAUUCCAUAUCUACACUCUUCCCUAUGAAUUCAUUGUGUAAAAUUGAGCUCAGAAUUGAAGAAAAUAAAUAGGACUGUGUCUAAUCUUUCUGCAUGGCUCAAUUAUAAAUGACACAGUGCAGCUUUUUCAGGUAAACAUACGGAAUUAUAAAAAGGAUCUAGUGUGGAGCUACAUAGAUGAAUGGAUCAUUUUUUAUAUCCUAGGCCAGAAAGUAAUGACUCAGAUGUAGCUUAUCUUUGCUUCAUAACCAAUGAGCAUGUUGAUGAAAAUGGUGCCUCAUUUAAAUGACAGGUCUCCCUUCUACCACCAUCUGCCGAGCCGCAAUGGACAAUUGAGGUAUAUGUUUGGAUGUCUCCUAACAAUAGUUUUGUAUGAAAGCACAGCAUAACUAAAAUUGCCAUGACCAUCCAAAAGCUUAUGUUUGAUUAUUUUUUUGACGGUCAUGGAAAAUGACCCAUUAUUUGGUAAGGUAGUAACUUUUAAAAACUGUAGAUAAAAGGAAGUAACAAAUUCAGCAAACCAACUUGAGCCAGAGCUAUGGGUUUUGGCUUACUAGAUUGUAAAACUAACUAGCUGCCAUUUUAAGCACUUUAUAAGUUACUUGCUAUAGUUUCUCCUUUUUGAGUCAUCUCAAAGAAUUGCCAGUCGGAACACAAUCAAAGAGGGAUGUUCAUUUUUAUGAUAUUGAGAACACUGAUGUUGAAUUUAAGUGAUUAUUUUUCACUCUUUACAAGAUCACAUGAAUGUAGGUAAAUAAGACAGUGUAGGCAACCGUGUCAGUAUCUAGAAGUGAUCUGAGGAGGUUUGGCUUUGCCUAAACGUCUAGAUUCAAUUUGCUUAAAUUUCUGUAUUAAUCUACCUCCUUCAUGAUUUCUAGUCUUCAUUGACCUCUUCUCAAUUAGAAUUUGUAGAAACAAAAUUUUUAAAAAUAGGUACAGAUACAUUUACCUUUCUGUUUUCAGGAAUGAGGAAGAGACAAUUUGACAAAUAAAUUACUUCGAAUUCAAAUAAAGCACAACAAAAACAUUCAUCCUACCUGCAGGAAAUAAUGUAAAAUACAUUUAAAACCCCUUUAAAAUUCUUUUAGCAGUUUUCAUACAUGUAAAAUACAUUUAAAACUUCUUUAGCAUUUUAUUCUAUUUAUAAAUAACUUCCUAACAAUUCUCUAAUUAAAAUCCUUUAGAGCUUUUACUUUGUAUCUUUGUGGGGAAGUAAACUUCAUUAAAAAAUAAUUUUUGACUCAAACUUUUAACUUAAUUUCAACUUUAAUAUUCUUAAUUUCCACAAAUCUGAAUGAUAAUAUAUACCCUACAAGGCCUACAAGCUACUAUUGAACGUUUUGUUAAAUUUUUUCAAUGUUGUGAACUUGCUUAUUGGAAAUGAAUGGUAAUUGUCAUUAUUCUGUUUCGUUGUGAAAUCCAGAAGUUAGGAUUUUAUGGCCCAAAUAUGGCAUUACUAGAGAAAUUUAAAUAAAAGAGAUUAAGGUAUAUAAAACAAGAUAUGGGCUUUGAUAGGACAAAGAAAUAUAAUUUUUGUAACUUUUUCAGUACUGUAUAGAAUUCUCUCUAAAAAAAUCACCUGAAGUUAAUUAUAAUGUUAAUUAAUAUAUAAUAAAGGUUAUAUUUCAAAACUUAUAUGCUAACUUUAGAACUUUAUUUCUCUCCAUAGAAUAAUUUUUACAAAUGUGCUGGAUUCUAAAAGAUUAUUUAUAUCAGAUCAGUAAUGGGUUAAAAAGUAAGCUUUUGUAGAAUGCCUGGUAAUAAAACAACUUUUUUUUAUUUUUUAUUUUUUUGAGACGGAGUCUCACUCUGUAGCCCAGGCUGGAGUGCAGUGGCAAGUUCUCGGCUCACUGCAAUCUCUGCCUCCAGGUUCAAGUGAUUCUCCUGUCUCAGCCUCCCGUGUAGCUGGGAUUACAGGCACUCACCACCAUGCCUAGUUAAUUUUUGUAUUUUUUGUAGAGAUGGGGUUUCACCAUAUUGGUCAGGCUGGUCUUGAACUCCUGACCUCAGUUGAUCCACCAGCCUCAGCCUUCCAAAGUCCUGGAAUUACAUAUGUGAGCCACCACGCCUGGCCUUUUUUUACAUUUUUAAUAGGAAAUUCCUUUUACAGUAUGAAUUUUGGAUGCCAGAAGUAUAUUUGUCCAUCUUAACUGUAGCUACAAUAUAAUAUUCAGCUUUUAUCCCACUAAGAACUCAUGGGUUCUAUGAUAAUGUACUUUUAGUCCCAUUUUUGAUUAUGUCAAAUGAAUAACAGUGGCAAAAGCAAUUAUUUUAUUUAUUUUUUGGAGACACGGUCUCACUCUGUCACCCAAGCUGGAGUACAGUGGCGCAACCUCAGCUCCCUGCAACCUCUGUCUUCAAGUGAUUCUCAUGCCUCAGCCUCCUGAGCAGCUGGGAUUAAAGGUGUGUGCCACCACAUCCAGCUAAUUUUUGUAUUUUUAGUAGAGACGGGGUGUCACCAUGUUGGCCAGGCUGGUCUCGAACCCCUGACCUCAGGUGAUCCACCUGCCUCAGCCUCCCAAAGUGCUGGGAUUACAGGCAUGAGCCACCGUGCCUGGCCCAAAACCAAUUACUGUACUCUUUUAUGUUGUCAUGUCUUCUUUAAUAUGAUUUCCUUAAUUAAUUGCUGCUAGUAAAAAGUAAAUUUAAAAAAAUUACAAAUCUAUAAACUCGUAAAAGUAGUGGAACUUUAGAGAUCAUUGUGUGACUCAACAAAUUUAAUACAUGAUAUCCCUGAGCCUCAGUGAUAUUAAAUGCCUUGCCUGAAAUAGUAGCAGAACCCGAAGUAGAGCUUAGGUCUCCUUAUUUCCGGUUUAGUACUUUCACUCUACUCCCAUAUCAGUCAAAAUAUUUAUUUAAUAGUUCAUGUAAAAUAGUGAAGUUGUAGGUGAUGUGAUGGGUACAGUAAAAUAUAAGCUCUUUGCUGUGUUCAGGGAGUUUGUAGCUGAGCAGUUUUUUUAUAAACUAUUUAGACAAAUAAUAGUAUUCAUUGGUAGGAUUUAAUAACUUUUGUACAAUACAGAAAUUGGGAAUCAUAGCUACCUUUUUGUUUAUUUUUGGACCUACAACAAAAUUUAAAAAAAAGCUUGAGAAAUAAAUACACAACACAUACCAAUGCCCCAUUCCAAGCUAUAUUGGAGUCUGAUGCAAAAGUGAAAAUAAAGACAGAUACAGUCUGUCUUUAUUUAAAAUUUUGAGAUUUUUUUCAUUGUGGUUUUUUGUUUGGUUUGUUUGUUUUUGAGACAGAGUCUGACUCUGUCACCCAGGCUAGAGUACAGUGGCACAAUCUCGGCCCACUGCAACCUCCGCCUCUCGGGUUCAAGCGAUUCUUCUGCCUCAGCCUCCUGAGUAGCUGGGACUACAGGCAUGCGCCACCAUGCCUGGCUAAUUUUUUUGUGUGUUUUUAGUAGAGACAGGGUUUCACCAUGUUGGCCAGGCUGGUCUUGAACUCCUGACCUCGUGAUCUGCCCGCCUCGGCCUCUCAAAGUGCUGGGAUUACAGGUGUGAGCCACCGCGCCUGGCCCAUCAUGGAUUUUUUUUUUUAUUAACCAGAGUCUAUGCUGUAUUCAUAUUUCCUUAGUUUUUACAUAAUGUUCUUUCCUGUUCCGGACUACAUUACCUUUAGUUGUUAUGCCACAUAGUGUUUUUUGCAUUAAUAUUGAGACAGAGUCUUGCUCUGUCGCCCAGGCUGGAGUGCAGUGGUGCGAUUUUGGCUCACUGCAAGCUCUGCCUCCCCUGGCUUCAAGCCAUUCUCUUGCCUCAGCCUCCUGAGUAGCUGGGACUACAGGCGCCCACCACCACGCCCGGCUAAUUUUUUGUAUCUUUAGUAGAGACGGGGUUUCACCAUGUUAGCCAGGAUGGUCUCGAUCUCCUGACCUCGUGGUCCACUUGCCUCGGCCUCCCAAAGUGCUGGGAUUACAGGCAUGAGCCACAAUAUUGAUUUUUAAAGUAUUAUAUUAAAAUAUUGUUUAUCUCGAUUACUGAGAUUUGCACCUGAAAUGACUGAGUCACUUGGCUUCCUCUAGUCCUGACGUGGGUGCACACGUGCACGCAGAGACAGAGUAUUUUAUUUUUGAGAGAUAUUUCUUUAAGUUCUCUUAUCCAAAAAAAGAAAAGCCCUUAAGUCCCAAUGGGCAAAUUGCUAAAAUGUGGGGGAAGAAAAGUAAUUCUGGUAUACAAUGCAAAGUAGGAGCGUAUUUCAUAAAUAACUCAGGUAUGUUAACUAGUAUUUAUGGGUGAAGCCACAAAUUUCUGAUUGUAAAUAUCCAGAGUUCCAUAGUGUACAUAUUAUCUGAGCUCUCAGAUCAGGCUUCAUACCAGUGCAAUAAAAUGAACACAUAAACCUGACAAGCCAGAAGCCAGGGAUGGGUCUGCCCUUAAUCAUACCACAUCUAGUAGCAUUCUACUUUUACUUUUAAGAUUAUUAUUGAGUUCUUACAACAAAUAAAUAUAAAGUUUGUAUUUAAUCUUUCCCAGAAUAUCUCAUCAUUUUGCACCUGAAAUGCAGGAUAAUUAUUUCCAACUGAUGUUAUUUACUGACAUAAUUUCUGGACCAGACGAUAACAUUUAACACUCAGUGUAAUGUUUUGAUGUUCUCUCAUGCCCUGAUACAUUUGGACUUAUUACCAAAUCAUUACUACAAGUCUGGAAGUUUCAAUAAUUUACAGAAGUCAUUACGUCUGGAAGUGUAGUAACUCUGCCAAAGAGAUGACCUAAACGUCCCAAAUACAUCCCAUAUUCCUCAGUCCUCCCAUCUGAGUUUCUCUUACACCCAUUUUUCUUAUAUAUAAAAACAGAGCAAUAUUUUUGAGCAAAAUUUUAAAAGAAAGGCUCUAUUUCAUCACAUGGCCUCAUUUCUUUUUUUCUGUUUGCAUAUCAUGUACAUGGAUACAAUUUAAUCACGUAACCAUGUCCAUUAAAUUAUUAGCUGAUUGCCUUUGAUGUCAAGAUUGCACUUUGGCCUUCUCUUUGUAUGCACGGUGGUUUGAUACCAUCUCACUGCUGGCACUAAGUUUUCACAGAAUAAUAACAUUUACAGUUUAUAAUCUAUAGAUCUCUGGAGAGAUUUGCUUAAUAGAACAAUACAUGUCAAGAUUCUUUGCCCAAGCUUGUCUGCUCUGUGCAAAAUGUACAAUGUAUAUUUUGCCUGCAUAUUUUAUGCUACUAAAUGGCUCUGUAAAGAAAGGUGUAUUUAAGAACACAUUUUAAAAAAUUGUACUGAGUUUUACAAAAAAAGCUAUGACUCCCUACCUUGGAAAUCUUGUUUUAUUUUCUUGUCUUUUUUUUGUGUUUUCAAAGUAUGAACUCUCCUUUGUUAGCUCUGUAUGAGGAAUGAACCAUUUUCUCAAAGUUCGAUGAAUGAAGACUCUCAUCUUACAGGGAGGCUAAAUUCUUGUGUGAGAAAGAAUUCUUCAUCAUAAAUACCUGUGAAGUGAUAAAUGCAUAUUUGGGAAUAAAACAUCUUAUAGGGCUUCUAUUUAAAAAUGACAGUGUGCUCAUACUUGUAUUUUCUCCCUCUUCAAACCCACCUAACAUGCAUUAAGAAAAGCCAAAAUAUGUUAAUCCACAAGGACAAAGAGAGCCAGAGAAAAGGCAACAGUGGAAAAAUCUUUUAACAAACAUUACUGAAGCAAGGAAGCAGAUGGUAAUUAAUUUAUCAGAGCAGAAGAAACUUCCACCUAGCCUGCAGAGGACAUUAUCACCAAGAAAUGAGUCAGCAUGCUCCUUGGAACUUUACCUAGGGACAUCGGAACUGCUAAAGGCUGUGGUGAGGCACGGGCUGAAGAGAGAGGCUUUGCCAGAAAGGCCGUACAACAGAUGUACAUCAGAUCUUCUCCCCAACUCAUCCUCCCUGGAGGAUACUGGAACUCUUAUCUCUAGAGAAAUGUAGAGACACCAGUUGAAGGCUGAAGUGAGAUCCAGGGAUAAAUAGUGAAAAACCUCAGUUGUAAAUGUUAAGAAUAAAAAAUCAAGAAUCACACAGCAUUUUAAGAAAGCCUCAAAUUGACACCUAGAGGAAACAGGAUUUUUCAGGGAGCAGAAGAAAACGUAAGAAAAAAAUAUCUAAUAUAUACAAAUAUUUGAGGAAUAUGCCCAUGAAAACAGGAAUCUCUAAAAAAGAAACAGAGACCAAGGCAGUGCUUGAAAAUUAAAAAUACGGUAAGCAAUGGAAGAAAAAAAAAACACAAAAAAAGAAUUGGGACAUAAAUAAUGGAUGAAA